AUACACACCAUCUUAUAAUCAUAACAAACAACAAUUUAAAGGAUAAACUGAGAAGUAGAGCUAGCUAUUUCUCCAAGGAGAACUAAUGGAUAAAUGUAGAACACCCUGAUGGCAUACAGAACAGCUGAUUAUGGAGGUGGGCCUCCAGGUCCACCUGGGCCUCCAGGACCACCAAAGCAAUCCUGUAGCAACCAGCAACAGCACAAGAAGUUCAGGCUGCAACCAAAAUCAAGACCAAAAUUAAACUCUGAAAAAGAAAAAUUAAAAGUAAAUAAAUAAAUCUUCAAAUCGCAUUUCCAAACAGCCUCCUAAUGAAAAAGUUGGUCUCCAUCAACCCCACAUUGGUUAGAUUUUACCUUUUAGCAACUAAACGAGAAUUCAAAGAACAAAUGAUUUAAAAUUGGAUCAGUUUUCUGCAUGAAAGAACUUACCAUGAAGAAAUAGCAUCGCAGAAACCGCCAAAGAAACCACCCGGGCCAGGGCCACCGGGGCCAGGACCCCACCCUCCAGGCCCUCCAGGUCCUCCAGGUCCUCCAGGCCCUCCAGGUCCCAUUACUAGCCUCUCUACACCCACAAACCUACGCCAGCGCCGGACUGUGAUAUAAGCUCACAACCUCUGUUGGAAGCUCUGUGGUCGGAUGGCAAUGAGGGAAAGGUUCCGACUCUAUAUAUAGAAGCUUAUAGGAGGCGGAGGAGGGAGGGCGGUGGAGGU
rnacentral:lncRNA from 1 species